GUCAAGUAAGAAUACCCGCUGAACUUAAGCAUAUCAAUAAGCGGAGGAAAAGAAACUAACUAGGAUUCCCUUAGUAACGGCGAGUGAACUGGGAAGAGCUCAAAUUUUAAAUCACCUUUUGGUGAAUUGUAAUUUGAAGAAAGUGUUUUGACUUUUCAGUUUAAUCUAAAUCCUUUGGGAUGAGGUAUCAUAGAGGGUGAGAACCCCGUUCCUGAUUAGACCUCGAAUUGCAUUAAUUCACUUUCCAAGAGUCGAGUUGUUUGGGAUUGCAGCUCAAAAUGGGUGGUAAAUUUCACCUAAGGCUAAAUAUAUGCAAGAGACCGAUAGCGAACAAGUACCGUGAGGGAAAGAUGAAAAGAACUUUGAAAAGAGAGUUAAACAGUACGUGAAAUUGUUGAAAGGGAAACGAUUGAAGUCAGUCAUGCUAGUGAGAAAUCAGCAAGGUGGUUUACUUCCUUGUGUACUUUCUUUCAGCAGGUUAGCAUCAAUUUUGGUUGUCAUCAAAUAAUUGGGGGAAUGUGGCUUCUCUUCGGUGAAGUGUUUAUAGACCCUGGUAGAUGUGGCGACUGGGAUUGAGGAUUGCAGCGGAUGCCUUUGGCUAGUCGCCUAUCUUCUGACUGUUACCUCGCUUUUGACAGCUUGCUGAUGAUCGUGGGAUUUGAUGGUUUAGAAGGUUAGAGUGUAUAUAAAUUCGCUAAGGAUGCUGACGUAAUGGCUUUAAACGACCCGUCUUGAAGCACGGACCAAGGAGUCUAACAUAUGUGCGAGUGUU
rnacentral:rRNA from 1 species